rnacentral:rRNA from 1 species
CCUACGGGAGGCAGCAGUGGGGAAUAUUGCACAAUGGGCGAAAGCCUGAUGCAGCGACGCCGCGUGAGGGAUGACGGCCUUCGGGUUGUAAACCUCUUUCAGCAGGGAAGAAGCGAAAGUGACGGUACCUGCAGAAGAAGCGCCGGCUAACUACGUGCCAGCAGCCGCGGUAAUACGUAGGGCGCAAGCGUUGUCCGGAAUUAUUGGGCGUAAAGAGCUUGUAGGUGGCUUGUCGCGUCUGCCGUGAAAACCCGAGGCUCAACCUCGGGCGUGCGGUGGGUACGGGCAGGCUAGAGUGUGGUAGGGGAGACUGGAACUCCUGGUGUAGCGGUGAAAUGCGCAGAUAUCAGGAAGAACACCGAUGGCGAAGGCAGGUCUCUGGGCCAUUACUGACACUGAGAAGCGAAAGCAUGGGGAGCGAACAGGAUUAGAUACCCUGGUAGUCCAUGCCGUAAACGUUGGGCACUAGAUGUGGGGAACAUUCCACGUUUUCCGCGUCGUAGCUAACGCAUUAAGUGCCCGCCUGGGGAGUACGGCCGCAAGGCUAAACUUAAAUUGAAUGACGGNUGNGNGNGCGAGCGACGACGAGGAGGAGG